CUCAGAGGCAGUCAAAGUUGGAAUUAUGACUCUCAUAUGUGAACGCAGUCCACAGGUAGCAUGGUGAUUCCCACACCAAGAUUCAGCAGCCCUGUGAGGCUGUGGCUCUGCUACUGGGACACUAAGGCAUUGUGAAAUAUCUCUAGGCCCAUCACCUACGUGAUGUGACUCUUCUUUCCUGCCUGAACCCUGCCCCCAAGAGACAUUGUGACAUAUCACUGGGUCCAGCUUCCAGGUAAUGUAACAGUCCUGCCUUGGCCCUGCCCACAAGGGGCAUUGUGACAUAUUGCUGAGCCCAGUACCUAGGUGAUAUGACUCUCCUGAAUUGCCCCUGCACUCAGGGGAGACUUUUGACCCUGCCCAAAGUGGCAAUUGUGACAUAUCUUUGGCCAGCACCCAGGAGAUCCAAACUUUGUUCCUGGUCUCUCUCCACAGUUGGAAUUGGGAACUACACAUGGGCACAGCUUACAGCUGGAUCCAGGUAUGAGAGUCAUCAUCUCACCUGUGAGCUGUGACCAUGUAUAUGUCGCAAUUUCACCUGUCAUCAGGAAGCAGACAUGAGAGUCCUAUCACCUGGGUGCUGGACGAAGUUUCGCUCUUGUUUCCCAGGCCGGAGCACAAUGGUGUGAUCUCGACUCACUGCAACCUCCGCCUCCCGGAUUCAAGCGAUUCUCCUGCCUCAGCCUGCCGAGUAGCUGGGAUUACAGAUGAAAAAAGAUGCAAAGAAGACAUAUUUGCUUUUUAUCCACACAUCAUUUCCAAUCACUAUGCUGAGCAAAGUCAAUGUGAGCAGAGCUGAGAAUAGCAGUUUUCUGGCAGGACGGCCACUUCUGAGCAAAAAAUGACACAAUAAAAGUAUAAAUAUUUAAUAGUAAGCUAAUAUAUUUUCAGCAAAUUAAGCAUAUGCAUUAAUAAAAUUAUUGUGGUAUAAUAUUCAUUUUGUUGAUUCCUAUUGCGCUCAGGUAAUAUCAGAUAAAAAACCAGCAAAUAUAGAGCAAAAAUAGUUAUUUGAAAUGGAAAUAUUGUGAAUAAAGUUAUUGUCAAUUAAAGUAAAAAUAUUUUUAUCUCCUACUAAUCGUUUACCUAUAGUUGUACAGUAUCAAAUGCUUUUUAUUAACAACUGUACUUCAUAUAAGUAUUCCAUUUAUAUCACCCUUCUUCAUGGUUUCAAUGCCUUCUGCACUUCAUAUCAGUGAAAAACAGGCGAGCUGGUACCAGGAAAUUGAUGUGGUGCUAUUACUACUUUAAGAGUGAUGACGUGUAAUCCUAGCACUUUGGGAGGCCGAGGCAGGCGGAUCACGAGGUCAAGAGAUCCAGACCAUUCUGG
rnacentral:lncRNA from 1 species